AAUGAACGCUGGCGGCAUGCCUAACACAUGCAAGUCGAACGAAGCCUUCGGGCUUAGUGGCGCACGGGUGCGUAACGCGUGGGAAUCUGCCCUUGGGUUUGGAAUAACAGUUAGAAAUGACUGCUAAUACCAAAUGAUGUCGUAAGACCAAAGAUUUAUCGCCCAAGGAUGAGCCCGCGUGAGAUUAGCUAGUUGGUGAGGUAAAAGCUCACCAAGGCGACGAUCUCUAGCUGGUCUGAGAGGAUGAUCAGCCACACUGGGACUGAGACACGGCCCAGACUCCUACGGGAGGCAGCAGUGGGGAAUAUUGGACAAUGGGCGAAAGCCUGAUCCAGCAAUGCCGCGUGAGUGAUGAAGGCCUUAGGGUUGUAAAGCUCUUUUACCCGGGAUGAUAAUGACAGUACCGGAGAAUAA
rnacentral:rRNA from 1 species